rnacentral:rRNA from 1 species
GGGUUGUGAGGUUAAGCGACUAAGCGUACACGGUGGAUGCCCUGGCAGUCAGAGGCGAUGAAGGACGUGCUAAUCUGCGAUAAGCGUCGGUAAGGUGAUAUGAACCGUUAUAACCGGCGAUUUCCGAAUGGGGAAACCCAGUGUGUUUCGACACACUAUCAUUAACUGAAUCCAUAGGUUAAUGAGGCGAACCGGGGGAACUGAAACAUCUAAGUACCCCGAGGAAAAGAAAUCAACCGAGAUUCCCCCAGUAGCGGCGAGCGAACGGGGAGCAGCCCAGAGCCUGAAUCAGUAUGUGUGUUAGUGGAAGCGUCUGGAAAGGCGCGCGAUACAGGGUGACAGCCCCGUACACAAAAAUGCACAUGCUGUGAGCUCGAUGAGUAGGGCGGGACACGUGGUAUCCUGUCUGAAUAUGGGGGGACCAUCCUCCAAGGCUAAAUACUCCUGACUGACCGAUAGUGAACCAGUACCGUGAGGGAAAGGCGAAAAGAACCCCGGCGAGGGGAGUGAAAAAGAACCUGAAACCGUGUACGUACAAGCAGUGGGAGCACGCUUAGGCGUGUGACUGCGUACCUUUUGUAUAAUGGGUCAGCGACUUAUAUUCUGUAGCAAGGUUAACCGAAUAGGGGAGCCGAAGGGAAACCGAGUCUUAACUGGGCGUUAAGUUGCAGGGUAUAGACCCGAAACCCGGUGAUCUAGCCAUGGGCAGGUUGAAGGUUGGGUAACACUAACUGGAGGACCGAACCGACUAAUGUUGAAAAAUUAGCGGAUGACUUGUGGCUGGGGGUGAAAGGCCAAUCAAACCGGGAGAUAGCUGGUUCUCCCCGAAAGCUAUUUAGGUAGCGCCUCGUGAAUUCAUCUCCGGGGGUAGAGCACUGUUUCGGCAAGGGGGUCAUCCCGACUUACCAACCCGAUGCAAACUGCGAAUACCGGAGAAUGUUAUCACGGGAGACACACGGCGGGUGCUAACGUCCGUCGUGAAGAGGGAAACAACCCAGACCGCCAGCUAAGGUCCCAAAGUCAUGGUUAAGUGGGAAACGAUGUGGGAAGGCCCAGACAGCCAGGAUGUUGGCUUAGAAGCAGCCAUCAUUUAAAGAAAGCGUAAUAGCUCACUGGUCGAGUCGGCCUGCGCGGAAGAUGUAACGGGGCUAAACCAUGCACCGAAGCUGCGGCAGCGACGCUGAUGCGUUGUUGGGUAGGGGAGCGUUCUGUAAGCCUGCGAAGGUGUGCUGUGAGGCAUGCUGGAGGUAUCAGAAGUGCGAAUGCUGACAUAAGUAACGAUAAAGCGGGUGAAAAGCCCGCUCGCCGGAAGACCAAGGGUUCCUGUCCAACGUUAAUCGGGGCAGGGUGAGUCGACCCCUAAGGCGAGGCCGAAAGGCGUAGUCGAUGGGAAACAGGUUAAUAUUCCUGUACUUGGUGUUACUGCGAAGGGGGGACGGAGAAGGCUAUGUUGGCCGGGCGACGGUUGUCCCGGUUUAAGCGUGUAGGCUGGUUUUCCAGGCAAAUCCGGAAAAUCAAGGCUGAGGCGUGAUG